CAGGACAUCUGGCGCCAUAUACAUUCCCUACUGCCGCUGCAAGAUGCUGCCCGUCUUGCCUGUGUAUCUCAUGCAUUUUUACAUUCCUGGAAAUGCCAUCCCAACCUCUCCUUCAGUAGGAAAGCAAUGGGUCUGAAUGAGGUUCCACGUCAAACUGAUGUAAUUGCAAGGGAUCUCACUAUGAAAGUCGACCACAUUCUCAAAAAACACUCAGGCAAAGGAGUUAAGAAAUUCCGGAUCGAAUUACACAUUUCAGUUGAUCCCAGCUAUCUUAAUAGCUGGCUUCAGAUUGCUGCUGAACUACGGAUUGAGGAACUCGCCGUUGUUCUACCUUCAACCUGCAAUGCAAACUACUACGAUUUCCCGUGUGCACUUUUUGUUGAUGAUGGGUGUAGAAACGCAAUAGAGCAUCUCUGCCUUGGUGGUUGUGCCUUCCAUCCCACAGCUGAAUUUGGUUACUUGAGAAAGCUGCAGCUGUUUUGGGUGCAUAUUACGGUGGAUGAAUUAGAAUGCCUUAUUUCCAAUUCUUCUGUUUUGGAGCACUUGACACUCAAGUAUUGUGAUACGAUCACUUACCUGAAGAUACCUAGCCUACUACAGUAUCUCAGCCACCCGAUAGUGUCUGCAUGCACUAAUCUGAAGACGAUAGAGUGCAAAGCUCCAAAUCUCUCCACUUUUUACUUCAGUGGUCGACAAGUUGAACUUCUGUUUGGAGAUUCAGUUCAAGUGAAGACCAUGAGAAUUUGUUGUUCUACUCAGUGUAACACCAUUUAUAAUGCGUGUUCCGUCCUGCCAUCCAUUGUGCCAAAUAUUGAAACUCUCAGCAUAUCUUCUGUUAGUGAGGUGGUCAAUACACCAAUCGUGCCUGUGAAAUUCCUCCACCUCAAGUAUCUGUCUAUUUCUCUUGAAGGAAAUGGGGCCUUUUCCCCAGACUAUGAUUACUUUUCUCUGGUUUCUUUGCUGGAUGCUUGUCCUGUCUUGGAAACUUUCAACUUUGUUGUGUCACAGGAUCGCAUGAAGCACGAUUCGGUUCUUGGAGACCCGUCGUCACGUCUUAGGCAGAUGCCUGAAUACCGCCACGACAACAUCAAGAAUGUGAGGAUUCUUGGGUUUUGCUCUGCGAAGAGCAUGGUCGAGCUGGCAUGCCAUAUUCUCGAGAAUGCAACAUCACUCGAGUGCCUUACUUUGGACACGAUAUGUGUUGCUUCCAAUAUUGAUAGACACAUUCACAAAACCGGUGAAUGUGGCCACAUAGGCAGGCAUAUGAUCAGAGAAGCACGUAAGGCACUCUUGGCUGUCGAAAGAUAUAUUGUGGGAAUAGUUCCCUCCACGGUCAAGUUAAAUGUCCUGGAGCCUUGCAAGCUAUGCCAUGCUUUGGCUGUUUAG
rnacentral:rRNA from 1 species